rnacentral:rRNA from 1 species
UACGGAGGGGGCGAGCGUUGUCCGAAGUUACUGGGCGUAAAGCGCGUGUAGGCGGGUUGCCAAGUCCGCUGUGAAAGCUCGGUGCUCAACGCCGGAGGGUCGGUGGAUACUGGCAGUCUUGAAGUGGCUAGGGGGAAAUGGAAUUACCGGUGUAGCGGUGAAAUGCGUAGAGAUCGGUAGGAACACCAGUGGCGAAGGCGGGUCUCUGGACAGUUCCUGACGCUGAGGCACGAAGGCCAGGGGAGCAAACGGG